rnacentral:rRNA from 1 species
GAAAGAUGAAAAGCACCUUGAAAAGAGGGUUAAAUAGUACGUGAAAUUGUUGAAAGGGAAGCGCUUGUGACCAGACUUGGGCGCGGCGGAUCAUCCGGGGUUCUCCCCGGUGCACUUCGCCGUGUCCAGGCCAGCAUCAGUUCGUCGCCGGGGAAAAAGGCUUCGGGAACGUGGCUCCCCUGGGAGUGUUAUAGCCCGUUGCAUAAUACCCUGCGGUGGACUGAGGACCGCGCAUCUGCAAGGAUGCUGGCGUAAUGGUCACCAGCGACCCGUCUUGAAACACGGACCAAGA